rnacentral:rRNA from 1 species
AGAACGAACGCUGGCGGCAGGCUUAACACAUGCAAGUCGAACGCUCGUAGCAAUACGGGAGUGGCAGACGGGUGAGUAACGCGUGGGAACAUACCCUCCGGUUCGGAAUAGCUCAGGGAAACUUGGAUUAAUACCGGAUACGGCCGAGAGGCGAAAGAUUUAUCGCCGGAGGAUUGGCCCGCGUUCGAUUAGCUAGUUGGUGAGGUAACGGCUCACCAAGGCGAUGAUCGAUAGCUGGUCUGAGAGGAUGAUCAGCCACAUUGGGACUGAGACACGGCCCAAACUCCUACGGGAGGCAGCAGUGGGGAAUAUUGGACAAUGGGCGCAAGCCUGAUCCAGCCAUGCCGCGUGAGUGAUGGCGGCCUUAGGGUUGUAAAGCUCUUUCGCUCGGGACGAUAAUGACGGUACCGAGAUAAGAAGCCCGGCUAACUUCGCGCCAGCAGCCGC